rnacentral:rRNA from 1 species
GGCCUUUGGCGGCAGCUACACAUGCAGUCGAACGGUAACAGGAAGCAGCUUGCUGUUUCGCUGACGAGUGGCGGACGGGUGAGUAAUGUCUGGGAAACUGCCUGAUGGAGGGGGAUAACUACUGGAAACGGUAGCUAAUACCGCAUAACGUCGCAAGACCAAAGAGGGGGACCUUCGGGCCUCUUGCCAUCGGAUGUGCCCAGAUGGGAUUAGCUUGUUGGUGGGGUAACGGCUCACCUAGGCGACGAUCCCUAGCUGGUCUGAGAGGAUGACCAGCCACACUGGAACUGAGACACGGUCCAGACUCCUACGGGAGGCAGCAGUGGGGAAUAUUGCACAAUGGGCGCAAGCCUGAUGCAGCCAUGCCGCGUGUAUGAAGAAGGCCUUCGGGUUGUAAAGUACUUUCAGCGGGGAGGAAGGGAGUAAAGUUAAUACCUUUGCUCAUUGACGUUACCCGCAGAAGAAGCACCGGCUAACUCUGUGCAGCAGCCGCAA